GAUGAACGCUGGCGGCGUGCCUAAUACAUGCAAGUCGAGCGAAUGGAUUAAGAGCUUGCUCUUAUGAAGUUAGCGGCGGACGGGUGAGUAACACGUGGGUAUCCUGCCCAUAAGACUGGGAUAACUCCGGGAAACCGGGGCUAAUACCGGAUAACAUUUUGAACCGCAUGGUUCGAAAUUAAAAGGCGGCUUCGGCUGUCACUUAUGGAUGGACCCGCAUCGCAUUAGCUAGUUGGUGAGGUAACGGCUCACCAAGGCAACGAUGCGUAGCCGACCGGAGAGGGUGAUCGGCCACACUGGGACUGAGACACGGCCCAGACUCCUACGGGAGGCAGCAGUAGGGAAUCUUCCGCAAUGGACGAAAGUCUGACGGAGCAACGCCGCGUGAGUGAUGAAGGCUUUCGGGUCGUAAAACUCUGUUGUUAGGGAAGAACAAGUGCUAGUUGAAUAAGCUGGCACCUUGACGGUACCUAACCAGAAAGCCACGGCUAACUACGUGCCAGCCGCCGCGGUAA
rnacentral:rRNA from 1 species